rnacentral:lncRNA from 1 species
GGAACUAACUAAACUUUGUGCUUACAGUUUUCAAUUUAUGUUUAAGGUACUUACAGUUCCAAGCGGAAGAGUUCGGGAUGACUGCAUCGCACACACCACAUGGUUUCUCUUUUGAGAUAUUACUCAAAUUGAUAUGAUGUUUGAUACACUUAUUUUCACUUGGGUUGUAUGGAUAAUGUUUCGGAAUAUUUAUUAAAUUAAAAAUGAAAUUUUUGGAUCACAUUUUUGGGACGUUACAGCAUAGAUAUGUUUUCAUUGAUGCAAAAUAUACAUUUGAGUGGGGUUUUGAACUAUUUUAUAAAUCUACAACAUAUGUAUAAUCAUGAAUAAACCUAUCACAUUUGAUGUGUAACAAAAAAGAACAUAAUGCCCAUUCCUUCUACGCUCAAGAAAGAACAUGGUAUAAAUUUCAUAGCAGUUAAUAUUACACCAGCAACCUAUUGGAUUAGUGUCUAAGUCCAUAACUAUUUUGGUAUGUACUUGACCCGAUGGUGCAUGAUCCUUUUGGGUUGCCUUCACCAAAGCAACUUGAUAGGAUGAAUUAUGGAGAGAAAUGAUUAAAUAUGAUUUAUUAAUAUAUUAUGGGAAUAAUAUAUUAAAGGAGAAAUCAUAUUGUUUAAUUAAUAUUAGUCAAUAAUUAAUUGGUAAUUAGUUUUGUGACUAAAAGAGAUUAAUUAAACUUAAGGGACUGGAGUUGUAAUUAUAAGAUAAUUGCAAUUUGGGCCAUGGAUUGUCUUGAAUCAAGGGGUGGACGAAUUCUAAUGGGAAACCCAUAAGGAAAUUGUCCAAGGGCUUGAUUAAAGGAGUCCAUGGGUUGCUUAGGGCUUAAGCAUCCAAAUUAGGGUUUCCUUGUUAGAUAACCCUAAUUGCCUCACUAUAUAUAGAUCCCUUAAGGACCAAAAACGUGGACAAGCUUCUUACUAGGGUUAGAACACGUUUUGGGCAGCCUCCAUCCUCUCUCCUCUUCAUCCUCUUGCUUAUGGUGUUUGUGAACCAUUAGAGGAGUGACACUUGUGACUCUAAGCCUUCCAAAGUCAAUACAAGGAGAUUUGGGAUUGUUAUUGCUACAUAACAAUCAAGGUAAUAUUAUAAAUCUAUUCUCAUGUUAAUAUGAUUACUUGUAUGCUAGAAUUAGGGUUUAUAGUCUUGGAUAACUUGCAUGUACAAUAGAGAAACCUAGAUCCAAACAUUAGGGUUUGUAUGAGCACAUAGGAUGUCUUAUGACCAAAACCCAUCAGUGGUAUCAGAGCCUAGAUUGGUUUCAAUUGUAUUGAUGCAUUACAUGUUUAAAAAAUUCGUUUUUUGGUGUUCUGGAGGCUGGACUCGCCGAGUCCAUAGAUGAACUCGUCGAAUCCAUGCAGACUCGACGAGUCUAAGCUUGACUCAACGAGUCAACUCGUCAGAUGGGGAUAUCUUCGCGAUUUCUUGCUGUUUUUGCUUAUGGAUAGUUACUAUAUCAUAUUAGAUCAAUAUAAAUCCGAUUUUAUGAUAUAUUUGACUAUAUUCUUGAUCUAAUUGAAGAUAUUUAUCAAUUAAUAAGAUAAUUGUUUCCUUAUGUGAUAAUUGAUUAAUUAUUUUGACUAAAUUGAUAAAUUGUUUUGCAAGAAAUCAUUAAAUAAAUCAAAUAUGGAUAAUUAUGUGAUUAAAUGUUAAUUUAGAUUAUUUGUUAUUUGAUCCUUAUGUUAUGAAAUGUUUCAUAUUUUCCCCUUUAGGUUUUAUAGUUUAAAUUUGAACCCAAAAGUUUUGUUGUUUUGAAAUUUAAAUAGUUAAAACCCUAAUGUUUUGAAAAAGGUUUCAAAACUUGCCCUCAAGUUUUGGAAUUUAAAUUUUGAUUAAAAGUUUAAUUUUGAUGUAUAUUUAAAUUCUAAACCCUAAUGUUUUGAAAUGUUUCAAAACUUGCCCUCAAGUUUUGGAAUUUAAAAGUUGAUUAAAAGUUUAAUUAGGAAUGUUAAAUUCUAAAACUCUAGUAUAGUUUUGAAAAAGUUCAAAUCACACCCUUAUGGUUUUAUUAAUUAAUUAAGGUGUAUAAUUAAAAGAGGUUUAAUAAAUCCAUAAAAGUUUAGGUUUACAAUUUAAUUGAAUUAAAAGUAUAAUUGUUAAAUUAGACCACCUAGUAUUUUAAAAGUGUAAAAUACACCCUAUACUAUAUAUAACAUUAAAAGUCUAACAUUAUAUAUAUGUAUGAGUAAAAGUCAGUCUUACCGUUAGUAGGCCUCAUUCACGAAGCUGGUCUAUAAGGGGUGUUUAAGGAAAUUGCCUAUAAAAUGGCGAUUGAAUGGGUAUCCACUCUUACCCACCGCACUCUUGACUAGUGGAGGGUCGUUAGCCGAACGGGUAGGAUAGGACGAAACCUUCCAUUAUAAGUAUAAUGAAUUAUUAAAGUAACUAAAUGUUUUCAUAAAAUUCCCAAUCUUAGUUACUUAGGCAAAAGUGAAUUGAUGCAAUUCCAUGAAAUUACACUUUGUGCCCUUGCGAAGACGUUAGUGGAGCGUGUGUGGUUUACCGGCACACUAAAUGGUUCUAAGCAAAGGUAGCAAAGGGUGACUCAAUGUUUGUCAUAGUUCGGUGGAGCGUGUGUGGUUUACCGGCACAUCGAAUAGGUGACUGUAACAUGUGAGGGCACCAUGUAAGUUUGCAUGGUUAUUCACACCCGCUUUGUGAUCCUCGGCAUCCCAGUCACAAACAAGAGGGGCAUAUCGAGAUUUAAACAUGCCAUUGAAAGUUCAAUGAAUCUCAAAGGAUCUAGGAGUUUUCAUAGAUUUAAAACUUAAAUUUCUUUUUCGUUUUUCAUGGUGGAAAUUAGUGAAUCGUCAUUCACUUACCUUCAAAUAUUCUGCAAUUAGGGUUACGGCAUCCCUCUCCCGAGUUGUAGAAUAUUGUGUUGGGUCCUAGCCUUAGUAUCUCAUUUGGGUGAUUUACUAAGGACUCAAUCAAUCAACUAACUUGAAUUCGUUUUCUCCCGUUUUGUAGAUGUCAAAGUUCGACAACUAUGGUCUUCCCAAAUCCCGUGGAACAAGCAUUCCACAUGAAGAUGAUAUUCCACGAUUCGAUCGAGGAACAAGAAAUCAUGCUUCACUUCCUCCUCCUCCUCCAAUUAUUCUCCCUAACCCACAAGUUCAAAGGCUUGAAAAGUUCAAGAUCACUCAAGCCCUUUUGGCAAGUAAACAUAAAGAAGGAAAGUCGGUGUGUGCACACGUCCUAGGGAUGAAGUCACACAUUGAUAGGUUAAGAAUGUUGGGAUCCGUUGUCUGUGAGGAAAUGGCUGUUGAUUGGGUUCUUCAGUCACUUCCUAACUCAUAUAGUGAGUUCGUAAGAGAGUACUAUAUGAUGAACCGCGACGUGACCCUUAUAGAUCUCACCUAUAUGCUUAUUGCUGCUGAAUCAGCAAUGGUUUGGCGCAAUAGAAAAGCAAAGUUGAUUGGUGAAUCUGCCUUCAAGACCUCUAUGGAUAUAGACAAUGGCAACGAAAGACAUGCUAUGAUCGAAAAGUUUGAUCAUAAGAGAAAGGCAAUGUCUGAAGUAGUUCCAUGUCAUGUUCCAAAAGAGUCAAUUUGCUUUUAUUGCCAAGAGAAAGGGCAUUGGAGACGAAGCUGCCCCAUUUACCUAAGAGAUCUAAGAGAUGGGAGAGUCGAAACGUAUGGCUCUAAUAUAGGUAAAAUCCAUUAACUAACUCUUUUAAGCUUCUAUUCUAGAUUCUUAAUACAUAAUGUGAUAAGAUUACAAUUGAUGUUUUGUAGGAUCGAAGAAAAGAAAGGAAGCUUAAGGGAAGAAGUGAGCAGAAUCUAACCGUGAAGGAAUGGAUUUCGAUCGCAUUUCUCGAAGAUUAGAUUCUUGAGCUACUACUUAGAGUUAGAAUUAGAUUGCUAAGAAAGAUGUAUUAGCAUAGUUUUUCAAUGAAUUGCAUUGUAAGGACAAAUUUUUUCCGCAAUAAAAUAAAUUUUGAUUUUAUAUUAUUUAUUUAUCCUUGCAAUGGCGUAUAUGAAAAAUUGAUGUUUGAAUGUUUCUAUUAUUAGCAAUAAUGGAUUUGGUUCUUAUUAUGUUAUUUAUGGAAAGUCGAGAGUUUACCAAAUAGGGAGAGUUUCUCAUCGCCCAAGUUUCAAUUGGACAGAAACUUGGAAUCAUGCAACUUGGUUGCACGAUGAAUGAGAAAUUUCAUAUUUGGAAAUUAGACUAAUUCAUUGACAAAGUGUCAAGUGAAGGACUAGGAGAUCGAGUACACAAAGUUGCGUGUUGAUCAAGUCCACCAUAAGAGUAACAAAGAUAUUCGUCAUGAUUUACUAAAGGUUUAGUAAAUAUGAUUAUACUUACAAGAUUAAGUGUAAUUCUGAAUUGAUUGAAAAAGUUUAAAUCAAUAGCAGAACGAAUAAGAAGAAUCAAGUAGGCAGAAAGAUAAAAGUUUCUCCAUUCUAAGAAGAAGGGAGAGUAGCUUUUAUGCUUUAUGAUAGGUCUUAAUGAUUAAGAACCAUAUCUCAAUUGAUCCUCUAAGUGAGUCUUAGUACAAUUGUAUGUCUAAGAAGAGGAAUCAAGAAUUGAAGAAAUGGUUAAAUCAAGAAGUCAAUCAUACUUCGUUCCAAAACAAGUCUUAGAGUUAAGAUUGUGACAUUGAGUGAAAAGUAUUAAGAAGGUUUAUAACAUUCAUCAAAUGUGGAAAGUUGUGAUGUCUUGGAUAAGACAAAGACCAACUAGGACCAAUUUAUGAAGUGUUUUGAUAAAAGCUACACUAACUCUUGAAUAUUUGUUUGUCAAGAAAUGUUUAUUGACAAGAGAAUCUUAUAUGUCAAGGAGUCAGUGGGAGUCUUAAUGGUCUUGAAAGGUUUCAAGAACAAAUCAAAUAAACCUUAUCGAUCAUCACUAGCACACGAGUUGAGGUUUACAACCUAUCGUGUUGACAUUAUUUUGUUUCUGUGCCAAUCCAAUCGAGUUAAUUAUGCAUGUGAGUUCUAUGAGUUCUCAUUUGAAACGCAUAAAAGGCAAAGCACCUUAAUCAAUGAAAGGUACAUUGAUAGGAAAGGGUGAGCUGCUUAACUACUUGGAAGACAUGGUGGGCAGCUGUGCUACCAUAAGGCAAGAAAUCAAGAUUAAGAAAGUUCGGUCCAUAUGAGUUUGAAUUUGUCGUAAACUUUGGUUUUAACAAAUUCACAUGGAUAGGAACACAUACACCGUUUAAAUCUAAGUGUCAUAAGAUUUCCUCCUUCAUGAAAAUGAUUGUGAGGAAAUGCUUUCACUAAGAAAGAUUUUAAGAAGAUAGUGAUUGUAAAAUUGCAUUCUCGAAUUCGAUUAUGGUUACGGUAUCCCUUUCCAUAAUUUGAAUUGUGAGGUUUGGCAAUUAGUCUUAAUUGUUUAGACACACAUAUGAACUAUCGAAGGCAAAGGUGUAUAAGUUCAAGAAGCCUUGAUAAAAGAUUAUCAAAGCACUAAGUAUUAGAAACAUGAACUUAAGAAAUUCAAUAAGUAUUGUUUUUCUGAAAGUUAAGAUGUUUAUGAAUACAUGUCGAAGCUAGUGGGAGCAUAAGUGUUAUGUUUUAUAAUAAUCAUCAUGAUAGUGGGAGCAUAAAUGUUAUGAUUGUAUGAUUAUUAAGGCACGUAUUGCAAGUUGGCAAUAUUAAUUAUAGAAAACAAGAGUUAUACCUUGCAAAGUCGUAAGGGUUGUAAAGUUGUUUUGCUAUAAUUAAGGGAGAGAAUAUUAUGCUUCAUUUCAAAUCUAAAGGCUUAGGUUGAGAAAUGUUAAUAAAUUUAGUCAAAGGUACAUAGUGUGUUCUUAAAAUUUCGAUUAUGAUUACGGCAUUCCUCUUCACAAUUCGAAUUUUGAGAACAUAGCAAAUAAAACAUUAUGCGUCGUGUCCCAUACGCUUCGGGUAUAGGAUCGAUUGCAAAUGCUUUAAUGUUUGACCAUUCUAAAAUUUUCCAAAUGUCGAGCGCAUUUAGAGGGAAAAGGGACUAGAAUUGGUUUUGACUAAAAUAAUUAAACAACUAUCAAAGGACAAUCCAAAGUUCGACGAGGAUUGGUCGCUUGUGAGUAGUUGGAAGCAUGGUAUUGGAUGGACCAUAUCGACAUUAUUAUGAAUAGAAAAGAUUCUAUUAAGAAUGAGUUGUCAUAUGGAAAUUAUGGAAAUGUUUCCAUAUUGGAUGGACCAUAUCGACAUCAUUACGAAUAGAUAAGAUUCUAUUAAGAAUGAGUUGUCAUAUGGAAAAUAUGGAAGCGUGUCCAUAUUGGGAAUUGAAUAUUGAAAAUCUAUGUCUAGAUUAGAAACUUUUAUGCAAAAGGAUGUUCAAAGGAAUGUACUUUGAGUGAGAGACAUCAUAUCUAAGGAAUUGUCUUGUAACAAUCUCCGAUAGAGGACUUUGUAAUAUCAUUGGCAAUAGUCUUUGUGACUUUGGUGCAGUGACAUUACGAAAGGAUCGUUGCAUAGAAUGUUAGAAUCUAGCAUAUUCUAUAAGUAGCAAGAAUUUGAUAUUCUUUCACUUAUGAAAAAAGAUUUGGAGUUGUGAAAUGAGAAUGAUUGGAAAUGUGUUCAAUUUGAUCUAUUUCACAAAGUAAGAACCAUAGGUAAACAUUGUGUGCAUGCUAGGAGCAUGGGACAAGUGUAAUAAUUCAAGUAAGAAGUUGAUUACCCGAAACGACAAAUAAUGAGUAAUCGAUAUGGUGAUAAAUAAAAGGUGUUUUAUUUAUACUCAAAGGUUUGAGGCCAUAUGGGAUUAGUAUUAUUCUUGUGUUUCACAUUUGCAUGUUUUGACUUCCAGAAUAAUUGAGUUUAUUAAGAAUAAUCGAAUUAUUCGAACGGGCCACAGUCGUUCAUAUGUUGGAAGUAGAUAUGAAUGAAGACUGUCGUGAAUUGGUGUGUGGAUUGUCUAAAAGAGUAUUAGACAUAAGCAAAUGUUUGCUGCAACGUUCAUGAGUGCUUAUGAAUAUGAUUUGAGCAUUGGAUUAAACCCACGCUCACUUGGAUCACUCCAUGAAUUGUAUCACGAGUGAUUGGUGAGACGAUAACAUCUUAUAUUCUUGAAACCGAGAUGUGUGAGUUGUAUCUUGCAAAUCGGUUGCACAUUGAUAAUAUGUAAACGCACUAGUAACUUGGUGUUAUAAAACAUAUUGUUGUGUGUGAUUCGGUGAGUGAGUGCAAGCAAGCAUUGUAUCAAAGUUUAUCCGUUCCUUUUAUCCAAAGUAGGAUAAAAGCGAUAUCUUUGGGCCCCUCGAUGGUUUAGUGAUGACAAACGUAAAUGCUCGGCCGGGCUAGGGCUAAUUUGAUUUGUUCAAUUAGUCAGUCGUCAUAAAUCGGAAAUCGAGAUAUAGUACAAAGAGAAUGAUUUGAAAUCAUAUCUCAUAUGAUAUCUAGAAUGGAGGAAUAUAUGAUCCCUUAUCUAAGGACACGCGUAUCUGAUAGGAUCAGAGUUGACAGCGGCUUUGGAAAGCUACGAUUGCAGAUCAGGAUCUGAAGUCAUACGCAGAAUAGUUAUUAGACUUAUCCAAGUGGGAGACUGUUGGAUUAGUGUCUAAGUCCAUAACUAUUUUGGUAUGUACUUGACCCGAUGGUGCAUGGUCCUUUUGGGUUGCCUUCACCAAAGCAACUUGAUAGGAUGAAUUAUGGAGAGAAAGGAUUAAAUAUGAUUUAUUAAUAUAUUAUGGGAAUAAUAUAUUAAAGGAGAAAUCAUAUUGUUUAAUUAAUAUUAGUCAAUAAUUAAUUGGUAAUUAGUUUUGUGACUAAAAGAGAUUAAUUAAACUUAAGGGACUGGAGUUGUAAUUAUAAGAUAAUUGCAAUUUGGGCCAUGGAUUGUCUUGAAUCAAGGGGUGGACGAAUUCUAAUGGGAAACCCAUAAGGAAAUCGUCUAAGGGCUUGAUUAAAGGAGUCCAUGGUUUUCUUAGGGCUUAAGCAUCCAAAUUAGGGUUUCCUUGUUAGAUAACCCUAAUUGCCUCACUAUAUAUAGAUCCCUUAAGGACCAAAAAUGUGGACAAGCUUCUUGCUAGGGUUAGAACACGUUUUGGGCAGCCUCCAUCCUCUCUCCUCUUCAUCCUCUUGCUUAUGGUGUUUGUGAACCAUUAGAGGAGUGACACUUGUGACUCUAAGCCUUCCAAAGUCAAUUCAAGGAGGAAUUAGGAUUGUUAUUGCUACAUAACAAUCAAGGUAAUAUCCUAAACCUAAUUAUAUGUUAAUAUCGAUUUCCAUAUGCUAGAAUUAGGGUUUAUAGUCUUGGAUAACUUGCAUG